GUGCGGGAACGGAAGACUCCGGGCCAUGGACUGCGCGGUAUGGAGGAUGGAUGGAACGAGUCUCCAGCUCCUCCGGGCCUCCCAGCAAAGCCCACGUCAGCCUCUCCAUCGACUCACUUCUGGCAGCAAGUAACAAGCGUUCAGUCCAAGGUCCCGGGUCCAAGUGGACAUCGAUGCUGGUUUAGUGAGCACGACAAUUUUCCACACACUUUGCCGCAUUUAGAUGCUGCUGAAGACGACAAGAGGCACUUACCGCUGCAGGCCACAGUAACCUGGAGCUCAGCACCUCUGCAAUGAACGCACUGAGAGAAAAGCUGGAAAGAAAGGGAUUGCUGGGUAAAGACAGAAGCCAAGGACACCGGUAGGACCCACUGCUACCUGCAACCUCAGCAC